rnacentral:lncRNA from 1 species
UCCUUGCUUUAUCUCUAAGCUUUUGGGCGUGCAUCUUUUCCCUCCAAGCUUUCAUCCAAAUGUUCUAUCUCUUUGCUUUAUCUCUAAGUGUGACCGUGCCUCCUUUCCUACAAGACAUGAACCUUCAUAAAAUUAAAUGUAAUAAAAUGACACCUAAAUUAAAGACAUGAUAAAUAAAAGUCCUAAACUAGUGUGGGUUUUAAGACAACUCCCACUUAUUUAUGGUCCUAAUUACUAAUGUAAGAACUAAAGAGAUCAAGGUGGAUCCUCCCUUAGGCCGUGGCCUUCCUUAAGCUCUUCAUUAAGACUUAUGCAAAUUAAAGCCUUCUCUUCAUGCUUGGUCCCAUUUGCACUUGUUUCCAUGAUAGAAAAUAUGAGUUGCCGAAGUGCUUCUUGGGCCUUUUGGUUUUAGCUCUAGUCAUAGGUCCUCCUAAGCCAUGUAAAGGGUCUUCAAUGAUGUUAUGUCCCAAUGGGUUUACAUCACAAUCCACACAAUGUGCUUCGUUAUAAAUAAAUUAAAAAACUAACACUACAUAGUGCACACAGUGCUUUUCAUAUACUUUGAAUGGAUGUUAUACAGUUGUUGCUACAUUGUAAAUGUAAAGAGAAAAAAUAAAUAUACUAUAUUCUCAUAGACUAGAAAGGAGUGUUGUACAACUAUUGCCAUAUUGUAAAAAAGAAAAAAUAAAUAUACCAUAUAUGUAUACAUUGUAAAGAGAAAAGACAUAGAAAAAGCAAGAUUGUUAACAUUAAUUCAUUGAUAACAUGUUGUACUGUAUUUACUCAAUAUUGAUUGAUUAUUUCAUUGUUAACAUAUUUAGAUGAGAAUUAUUCAAUACUCAAUUUUUAUAAUAAUAUAUAGCAAGUAUAUAAUAUUGUGAGAACAUUGUAACAUUUUAUAAUGAAUUAAAAUUUAAUUUUGAUGGUGUGAUUAAUCAGUGGUGUUUAUGCUCUAAUGUUGAUAAAUUGUUUUAAUUUCAGAUAUGUCAUCAUCUUUAAGUUCUCCAUAUACAAUUCAAGCACUAGCUCCUACUACUCAAUCUUUUAGAGUAAAAUCUGACUCAACAUGGGAUCAUUGUCAAUUACUACAAGAUGCUGAAGGAAAGAAAAUUAUAAAAUGUUUGUAUUGCUCAAAAUGUUGCAAGGGUGGAAGAAUACAUAGAAUUAAACAACAUCUUACGGGAGUAAAUGGAGAUGUUCUACCUUGACUUUCAGUCUCUUUUGAUGUUAAGUAUCAACUUAAAGAACACUUGGAUCAAGUUAAUGGUAGUAUAAAAAGAUGGAGUAAUUAAGCAAACUCAAGGGGAAGAAGAUCCAUAUGAGGAAAAUGUUAUGCAACAUGAAGGAGACAUGACCAAGGGUAAAGAAACAGAGACAACAAAUAUAAGACCAAAUCAUAGUAUAAACAAUUUCUUUGCUCCAAGAACUACUCCAUGAGCUCAACCUUCAAUCUUGAAUGGACUUUGCAGGUAAAGAUGUUAUUCAUAGAGCUGAUAUGACAGUUGCUCUAUUCUUUUAUGAUUUUGCAUUCCAUUUAAUUGUGAAAAUUCAGUUUACUGUCAACCUAUGACAGAUGUAAUUGCUACAAUUGGUUCUGGUUAUAAAGGUCACAGUUAUUAUGCCGUUAUAUUUAAUUUAUUGUAUGAAAUGAAGAAGAAAGUCGACUUGUUAGUUGAGACUCUUAGGAAUUUUUUGGAAAGAAACUGGUUGCACCAUCAUAGCUUAUGGUUGGCAAGACUAAAUAAAUAAAAAGCUUAUCAAUUUUCUUAUAUAUUCUUCGAAGGGUCUAACUUUUGUUAGAUCUGUUGAUGCAUAUGGUGUCAUUAAAGAUGUUAAAACACUUUACAAUUUGUUUACUGAGUUAGUUGAGUUCGAUAUAGUAACCAAUGUUGUGCAUUUGGUUACCGACAAUGCUACAAAUUAUAAAGUUGUAGGAGCUAUAUUAAAUGAGAAUUUUCCAUCUAUCUAUUGGUCUCCUUGUGUUGCAUAUUGUUUAAAUUUGAUUUUAGGAGACAUUGGAAAAAUGGAGCAUGUGAGUACCUCAACUAAGUGUGCAUUUGAUAUAACAAAGUUUGUGUAUAAUCAUGGGUUUUUGUUAGUAACUAAUAGAGAUUUUAUUGAUUCUAGACAUUACAAGAUAAGAAAGAAAAAAUAUUUGUGGAGGUUGUUAUGGAUGUAAACACUCAAUUUUGUUUGGCCAUAUUCAUAAAAUAAAAAUUAGAAACAACGGUGAUGAUGGGGUGAGGAGGAAUAUACCUGGAUGACAAGUAAUAUCCAAGAAACUGACAUUACAUACUCCGCAAAUAAAGCUUCAGUUGUAAAAAAAUUAUUCCUAGUACGAUGAUAAAUACAUUAAAUAGAAUAAUCAAAGGGGUGCAAGUCAUAAUUCAUGGAAUCAUUUGCAGACAGUUACAAAUUGGGGCAUUGAUGUUGUAAUAUUAAGGGGAAAAUGAAAACAAUUGCGGGGAUGUCAAAAGGUGGCACUAAACAAUUGCAAAUUAGUAUUAGUUUAGUUACUCAGACUAUAAGUACAACAAUUAGGAUUGGCAAAUCUCCUGGACGGUUUCAAAAGGGUGGUAAAAAAACAAAAUUCUUGGUACAUUUCCAUUCAAAAUUCGGAGCUUAAGAGCUUAUCAUCAGAAUUCUCUUCCAACAUAAAAGGGGACAGCAUACACAACAGAAAAAGAGAGGAAUACAUACAGAGAAAAGGGAGAGAAAAAUGAAAGACCAAUUCUUCUCUCAAAAUUCCAACACUACAACAUCUCCAUAGUCCAAAUUUCUUCAUCAACCUCACUACACAUGUCAUCCUUUCUUUAUCCUAUCAUCCCUAAAAAAAUUCAGCAUAUCAAAUCCACAUAUACUAUCUAUCACACACACAUAUACAUAAUUCCACUAGAACUCAUUCAUAUCAUAGCAAACAACACAUGCAAUUGUUGACACACUUAUCACAAAGGAGUAUCAUAAGACAUACACAUAGAACAGAGGGUAACACAUUAUACAUAGACACAAGCUAUUACACACACCAGAGGAGAGAUUCAAAGAAAAGGACGCAUGACCAAAACAAAAAAAAACAUUCUAAAAUAUAGGUUCAUCAUUUUCCUUACUCAGUCAUACUGAUUUCAUUUUGUGUAUCCUUAUCCUUAUAAGUGUUGGGGUUGAAGUGGUCAUAGAUCAGUUUCUUUUAUCAGUUAAUAAUUCCUAUUAUCUAGGACACGUAGGUAGUGUUGGUAGUUAUCUUUAGAUAGGUACUUAUCAUGUAUACAUGGGUAGUUUUUUUUUCCAGUUUCUUUCUUUGUUGGCUUUUCAAUUCUGCACUGAUGUAAGGCUUAUUUAAGCCAUCUGCUCUAUUAAAUAAUAUGCAAUGGUUUAUAACAAUCCCUAUCCUUAUAAGUUUAUUAUUAUAUAACAUAAAUCCAAGAUUUAAUUAAGGGACUCUUAACAUACGGAACCCAAACACAUGAAAAAAUGAAGAACAUAACUUAUGAUAGUUCUAAUGGGAGAAGCCAAUUUGAGAUAAUUGUAGAUCCAGUGAGUAAGCAGGAAUAGUCUCCCCAUGUGAUGGGGUUUCAUGUCUCACCGCCAUGUGAAUCAUCGGUCCUGUAUAGACCGAUUCAAACCCCGGUUAGGGUCAUGGUUGUGCUGUAGAGUAAACCACAACUUCAUCUUCCACAUCUCCGGCAUAUAUCAUCUUUUCCCAAGAGACUCACAUUCGAUUCACAAAAUAGAAAACAAGGUAAAAAUAAAGAAAAUGGUUACCCGUUUCUAGUGUCGCCUUGCUCUGUUGUGAACAACCCUUGGUUGUGGUCUUCUUUCACCACCGAGAAUUGGGGCUGCCUUGCUCACUGGUCAAAGACCAAUGCAAGUUGUCGCUAGAGAAUAGAAGAAAUGAUAAGACGACCUAGUGGUUUUGUUGUGCGGCAAGGAAGUCAUCGCCGUGUUCCACCGACGAGCAAUGUCCAUCUUCGCCGAAGAUGAGAGGUGAAGAAUUUAAGGAUUUUCAUUCCCUUUUCAAUUUUCUUUCUUCGUUUUUUUAUAUUUUCCACAGGUAUCCUCGCACUAGAGGCAAUCAUGACCGAGCCGGAAACAUCCACAGGUACGUGGGGCUAACUCUCCCAGCGGACAUUUUUUCCAUCCACAACACUCGAACCCGAGACCUUGCUCAAGGAAAAUCAAGCAUGUACCACUUGAACCAAUGUCCGUUGGUAAUUUUCUCUCUUCAUUUAACAUGGUGAACCCCUUCACUUACAUCAUUUACUUUAAUUUUAAGUUUAUUGUUUUUAUUAUAAUCUUUUCAUUUCAUUUUUUAAUCUUUUUUUAUUUUAUAUAUUAGUUAUGGGUAAUUAACUCAUCCCAACAAGAUUGUGGCCCAUUAAAUCAAUCCUUAUUAAUUGUUGAGUAACAAC